GGAUAGCGGAGAAAUUCCAAUCGAACCCGGAUAUAGCUGGUUCUCCCCGAAAUAGUUUUAGGACUAGCCUCGUGAUUAAGAUUAUCGGAGGUAAAGCACUGAAUGGCCUAGGGGUCGAGAGAUUACCGAAGCCUAUCAAACUCUGAAUGCCGAAUAAUCAUGCACGGGAGUCAGACUGUGUGAGAUAAGUUUCAUAGUCGAAAGGGAAACAGCCCAGACCUACAGCUAAGGUCCCAAAGUACGUUUAAGUGGAAAACGAUGUGAAAUUGCGUAGACAACCAGGAUGUUGGCUUAGAAGCAGCCAUACAUUAAAAGAGUGCGUAAUAGCUCACUGGUCGAGUGACUUUGCGCGGAAAAUUUAACGGGGCUAAAACGUACACCGAAGCUUAGGCUUGUCACAAUGUGACAGGGGUAGGGGAGCGUUGAAUGAGGGGUGAAGUCGUAGCGAAAGCGACGGUGGACUUCAUUCAAGUGAGAAUGCCGGAAUGAGUAGCGAGAAUUAUGUGAGAAUCAUAAUGGCCGAAAGCCUAAGGUUUUUGGAGGAAGGUUCGUCCGCUCCAGGUAAGUCGGAAGCUAAGGUGAGGCUGAAAAGCGUAGCCGAUGCACAAACGGUUGAAAUUCCGUUACCACAGAAAGAUUUAAACUAAGGGACACUUUUGAAGAGCUGGUGCCGGGUGUUGGUUACCCCGGUCGUAAGGGAACGAAAUUAAGUAGUGAAGUCAGCGUGGAUGAAGGCGAGAAAAGCUUAGUGUAUAUCUUAUGUGUCCGUACCGCAAACCGACACAGGUAGGUAGGAAGAGAAUUCUAAGGCCAACGGGAGAAGGGUAGUUAAGGAACUCGGCAAAAUGUCCCCGUAACUUCGGAAUAAGGGGAGGUUUCUACGGAAACCCGCAGAGAAUAGUCCCAGGCAACUGUUUAUCAAAAACACAGCUCUAUGCUAAAUCGAAAGAUGACGUAUAUGGGGUGACGCCUGCCCGGUGCCGGAAGGUUAAGAGGAGGAGUGAGAGCCCUGAAUCGAAGCCCCGGUAAACGGCGGCCGUAACUAUAACGGUCCUAAGGUAGCGAAAUUCCUUGUCAGGUAAGUUCUGACCCGCACGAAUGGCGUAAUGAUCUGGGAGCUGUCUCAACUGCCCGCCCGGCGAAAUUGUAGUACCGGUGAAGAUGCCGGUUACCCGCGACUAGACGGAAAGACCCCAUGGAGCUUUACUGUAGCUUAAUAUUGGAUUUCGGCAUUUCAUGUACAGGAUAGGUGGGAGACUAGGAAACAUAGGCGUCAGCUUAUGUGGAGUCGUCCUUGGGAUACCACUCUUGGAGUGCUGAAAUUCUAACCUGCAGCCCUGAAUCGGGUUGGGGGACAUUGUUAGGUGGGCAGUUUGACUGGGGCGGUCGCCUCCAAAAAGGUAACGGAGGCGCUCAAAGGUUGGCUCAGCAUGGAUGGAAACCAUGCCAUAGAGUGCAAACGCAAAAGCCAGCCUGACUGCGAGACUGACGGGUCGAGCAGAAACGAAAGUUGGAGUUAGUGAUCCGGCGGUAUGUGAAUGGAAAUGCCGUCGCUCA
rnacentral:rRNA from 1 species